CACCAGAAACACUUGUAGUAGCAGAAAGAAACACUAUUGAGACUGUAGAAGAAGAAAGAAGAUUGGCAAAAAAGAAAAUGGGUGCUCCCACUGCAGCAUGGCUCCCUCACAUGUCCUCUUUUGUUGCUCUUAAACCUCAUUGCUGUCUCAACAAGAAACCCUUGUUUGUCGACACAAAAAGCAUUAGAACCAGUUUCAUCCUGCCACGUCAACCCUUCUCUUCCUCCUCAAUCCUCACUUUCGCCCGCCGCCGAGGAGGCCAUCAGGCCUCCAGCUCCCCUGUCAAGUCUAAGAAGCAAAAGAUAAAGGAGCAAACUUUCGGCAGUAAAAGUACUCAAGAAGAUGAAGAUGAUGAUGCCUUUGAGGCCCUCUUUCGCCAGCUGGAAGAAGACUUGAAAAAUGAUAAUCUAUCUUCAGAAAAUGGUGAUGAUGAUGAUGAAAUAAGUGAAGAGGACCUUGCAAAGCUUGAACGUGAAUUAGAAGAGGCACUGAAGGAUGAUGAACUUUGUGGGGCUCUGGACUUGGUUGGGGAUGGCAAAACAGAGGAUGAAUCUGAUGAAGACGAGAAAGAAGAAGAAAAUGAGGACGAUAAUACUGCUAAUUAUCAUGUCGAGGAUCUUGAAGAAGAUGAUAACGAUGAAGAAAUGCCAGUGAAAUUAAAAAAUUGGCAGCUUAAGAGACUGGCUUAUGCUUUAAAAAAUGGUCGGCGUAAGACCAAUAUUAAAAGUCUCGCAGCUGAUUUAUGUCUUGAUAGAGCUGUUGUCCUUGAACUGCUUCGUGAUCCUCCUCCAGAUCUUCUGAUGAUGAGUGCUGCUUUGCCUGAUAAACCUGUUUCAACAGUAGUAGAGCCAGUAAACAAACUGAAAGAAGCAAGUCCUUUGGAGAUGACACCAGUAACCACGAAGGCUGAGGCUGAGGUGAAAGUGCCGGUUCAUGUGAUGCAAAGCAACUGGUCUGCUAAAAAGAGAAUUAAAAAAGCUCAACUUGAUACUCUUGAACGUGUAUAUAACCGAACAAAGCGUCCCUCGAAUGCCAUGAUCAGCAACAUUGUGCAUCUGACAAACCUGCCUAAGAAAAGGGUGGUGAAAUGGUUCGAGGACAAACGAGCUGAAGAUGGGAUUCCUGAACACCGCCUUCCUUAUGAACGUUCUGCUUCUACUUUUACAUAACAGAUGCUCUUUUCAGUUUUCCAUGUAAAUACACCUAUUGGAAAGCUCCACACGCUGCAUAAUUCACAUGGUAGCUUACUCUUUAUGUGAAGAAAAACUGUAUGCUCCUCAUUAUAAUUUUUCUUGGCUGUUACGUGGCAUGCAGUAUGUUGCUGUUAUAGAGCUAGUCAAACUUGGGAGAAGCUGGUUUUUUUUUUUUUUAAGAUUUUUAGACCACAAGGAGGAGAAUAUAAAUAGGUGAAGUUGCAGUCAUUUGGGACGUCUUCUUGCUGAGUACUGGUCAUUUUAUAUAGCUAGUCAAACUUGGCAGAAGCCGGUGUUCUUAAAGAAUUUAUGACCUUGUUUUAACCACACUGAGGACCAUAUGAACAGGUGAAGGUGCAGUCAUUUGGGAUGUCUUCUUGCUGACUACUGGUAAUUUUAUACUAUUGCGUUCGUGCAGCAUAUGACUUGUGAAUUAUGAUCGAGGGGAAAUGACAUCAACCAAGAGGAAAAGCUUUUUCUUUUCUUUUCUUUUUUUGUUUGCAGGAAAUCAAGAAGAAAAGUUCAAAAGAAUAGGUACAGUCUUGGUCUGCUGCAGCCCAAAUAAGAACAUGUAUUCAAAAGUUGUGAGGUUGACCGUAUGAGUUGUUCUCAAGGCGUCAACCAAGAAGAAGUAUUCAAAAGAAUAAGAUCGGUCUUGGUCUACUUGAACCGAAAUACAAGAUGCGAUAAUUUUCACAAACCUCCUCGGAGGAAAAAGAGCAAAACGUGACAAAAAGGGGCAAUCUUCCAAUUAAUUUGAUGGUAGCACGUUCGGGAUCGAUUUCCAAGUUCGAUUCAAACUCUGGGCAGCUUGAGAGGAAGAUUUGGAAGACUUGAAUUCUAAUUACUAGUCUUAUUGUUGAAUUAGGAAACUUGAAAUACUUUCUUUUGUGGUUUAUUUUGCUAUUUAGGAAACUAGUUCUAUUUGGUAGUAUUUUUCCAUUAGGAAACUAAGGAAAAAGCCACGGUUGCUGACCUUGGAAAAGUGGGGACCAUUGCAAUUGUCUUCCAAUAUUGCUUUGACCGAAAUUGAAGGGAGAGAAGGCUACAAAAGGCCAGCCGACUUUGAAGUUUGAAGGGGGAGAAAGGACGGAUCCCGCGGGAUUACUACUUAGCCAGGGAUUUCACGUGAUAACUAGGGAGCGAAGGGAAUAAGAAAAAAAACAACGCAGCCGCUUGGCUCUGGUCCGCAGAGUAGUUCCUCUAUUGUAAAAUAUUAACGCAAUUUCCUUCAAUGGAAUUGCGUGAGUUACUCUCAAUGGAGAACUAAUCUUCUAAUUCUAGUCAAGGGGCACAACUGAAGAUUUGGUUCAACAA